rnacentral:lncRNA from 1 species
UUUAACACCCGAAGAAGCUGAGGCCCUUGCUGCAAUUCGACGGAAGAAGAAGCUCAUGUUAGCUGAGCACAGAGCUAAGAAGAAAACUGCCGAUAAUAAACCUGUGGUCCCCAGAAGGCAUGAUGUAGAACGACAAUUUAAUACCAGCAGAAUGGGUAGGCAUCUUUCAAGCUUGGGGUUGGAUCCUACUGCUGCAGUGAAUAGAGCAAGGAGUAGGUCCGCAGCUGGCACAAGAAGCAGGAAGAGAGAGAGAUCCGAGGCAGCAGGUGGUGAUGACAUGGAAGUGGAUGAGCAAGCUAACAAAAGAAUGCGUUCACGAACUCGUUCCUUAUCCCGGCCGCAUAAGGAAGCACUACCUGGUAAAGCUUCUUCUAAUCAUUUAGUCAUUCUGUUGGAACCUGCCUACACUUUUGUUAUAUUUUGCGUCCUACUCUCUUUCUGAAGAAUCUCUUCCUAGGUUGUUAUUGACUUGUUGCCAGUAUUCCCGUCUAAUGAGAUCGUUCUUGUGUGUGUGCAGGUGAGGGUUUCAAGGACAGUGCUCAAAAGGUCAAGGCAAUGAAGAUCGGCAAGAAUGCUGUGAAAGAAAGAAAUAAGGAUGCUAGGAAGGGUGAGGCGGAUCGUGUUCACUACAACAAAAAGCCUAAGCAUUUGUUUUCGGGCAAAAGGGGUACUGGAAAGACAGACCGGAGGUAGUUGGUCUGGAUUACCUCGGUGCGGGACAAUGUUCCUUCGGCUUAGCAGUUGUAGUAUAUUAGGAUUGGGCUUCCACUUCAAAAGAUCCUUCAGGAGUGAAAACUUUUUCCCGCCAAAUUGUUUCAACCACACUAUUAAUUUGGGCGAGCUUGUUUUCAAUUCUUCCUGCAUUUACAGAUACUAUGUCUAUCAAGACAUUCCAAAAGGUCCCUCUCAUUUACGUGGUGUAUCUACCUAAUUUGCAUCAUACCAAUUAAGAGAUUUGAAUACACGUUGCAGAACGAUCAUAGAUGUUCAUACUCGAUUGUCGACAGUGGGGUUCGUAUGCAUAGUGUACUUCAUACGCUUGCAGGCUGUCGAAACUCAUAUAAUGCAGCAUGGAUAUGCUCAUCUCAAUUUCCCUACUUUAUGACAACCCUAAUUGUCACAAAUUCAUCACCAGACUUUUUACGCGACACGCCUUUCUAAACUUGUGACUGAAACGGCGGUUGGAGGGAAAAGCCAGAGUUUAGUAAUUCCGUGUGUAGAUCUCAAGCCUCGCGCAGCAUUUUGUUUCAUUGGAAACCUAGGACAUGGGUGGCCUUAGUUACAGAGAUGAUCGAAGGGUUGUGAAGUUACAGGCAGGUGCUUGAAGGUCGCUUUUGUCGGUUCCAGAGUGUGCCAGAGCAGAUGAUCUGCACAGGUGUGAUCCCCAAGCUGAGAGCACACACAAAACCAAGCUAAUCGCAAUAUUUCUUCAUCUCCUUCGUCACACGAGGCCCCACAAUCACAAGAUCAAUACACACAAUGUCAAUACUCCUGCAAGGCCAACGAAGACGCGGCUUCCAGAAAAUUCUGCAACCUCUCUGACAGCUUCACUGAUCUCACUGGGAUGUACAAGGUUGGAUAAUAUUCUCUUGUGGCACCAGAUGUGAUCUGAAUUUUACCUCAAUAGAUGCAAAUGCCAUCUCUGCAAGG